rnacentral:lncRNA from 1 species
CGGGCGGCUGCCGGCCCGCCUGCUCACACUGGCGGCACCACCUCCAAGGUCAGCCGGCGCGGGCCCACGCCACGUCUCGUGGCUCUCUGAUUGUUUUAAAUGAGCGUCAGCACAGAGCCGCAAGCGGGGCCCCAAGUCACGGCCGGGAGACCCCGACCCGAGGUCACACGGCAUGUGACCGACGAAGCCACCCCGUCCCCCCAAGUGUGGUUCUAAAGGCAUCGGAGACAUUUCUAAAUUCGUGUGACUGGUUCGGCCAAGGCCUCCCUUGAGGAAGGCCUUCCGCAGUCUGGGACGUGUCCCCUUCCUGGAGAGCCCGCGCCCCUGUCGCAGCGAAUCGGCCAGAAGUCUCUGCUCCUGGCAAUAUAGCUUUGGGCAGAAGAAAGAAAUCCUACGGGACACACGAUGAGAAGGACUCACAGUUUUCUUUCGGCGGCCACACCAGACAGAGGCUUUGCUUUAGUGUCAGGUUAGACAGAGACCAAAACAGCUUGUCCCAAGAUCACUGGACGCCAGACCGUGGAGACCUGCGGGCCGAGAGAGGAGGGCCGGAGGGGACAGAGCGGCGCUGGUUCCGUGGCGUUUAGUGCCGAAACUGACAACAGCGAGAGCUCUCAAGGACUUGCUUACUUCACUUCCCGGUACAGCAAUAGUUACUUAAUUGUAUUUCUCUGUCAUUUCAUGGAUUUAUUAAAAAACCUACUCAUAAUCAGUAC